UCCCUGGCGGUCCAGUGGGUAGGACUGGGUGCUUUCACUGCCAUAGCCCAGGUUCAAUCCCUGGUCAGGGAA
rnacentral:tRNA from 1 species